rnacentral:lncRNA from 1 species
GCUCGGCCAGUCUCAUGCUUAAUAAUUCGGUGACUAUUUUAAGCAUUCCAUUUAUUAGACUAAUCCUAGGUAGAAGCAUAUUUCUCUUUCUUGGGGAGGAGAGCAAUGAACGAGUAGUUUAACCAAGAUACAUUGGUAUUUUUAGAAAAUAUAUCUUCAAUAAUUCUAUAGAUGUUAGCUUUCAUCGACGCCAAAAAUGCUGGUAGAAAGAGCCAGGAAAGCCUAGAUUCAUCCUCUAGAAAAGGGAGUGCAAGGUCUGAGAGAUUCACUUGGUCCACUAGAAGAAGAUGUUCCCAAUCUGUCAUGAUGCUGAUUUGAUUUAUUGAUCUAAAUAGCUUCGAGUAGUGUCUGGCAGAAAAGUUCUUUAUUGCCCUCCAACUUGUCAAAGAUAGUCUUCUGAGACUUGAUGAAAGAUAUAUGAUUUUUUUCUAUGUUUGUUACUUGCACUC